UCCCGGAGAGGCUGUGUUCCGUCAGCGUUAGAGCCUCACUUUCUCGGUGUGCUACCGGGUGGUCCUGCAGCCCCUCGGUUUUCUGUUCUUGACCUUGAGUUACGUUUGCCCCGAGGUCGCCCGCCCCUGUCUUUUGGGACAAGCCUGUGGCUGGCCAAGGGUCCCCGCAAUGUGCUGGGGCUCGGGGCCUCUCCACAGGACGCUCCUCCUAGUACCUCCUCUGCGCGAAGGUUCUAGACCUUCCAGGGAAGGGCCUUUGUCCCUUGGCGCUGUGCCAUCAAGAGCUGGACCUCCCCCGGUCACGUGACGCUGUCGCCUAGCAACGAGAACCAAGCUGCAGCCUGGGCUGAGCAGAGCUGGUUUGCUGCCAGAGCCCAAUGUCCGAGGAAGGCCCCCAGGAGUGUGCAGAGCCUGCGGCGCCCAAGGCCGAGGCGCCCCCGGAGAGAACCAGCGACUACUACCGCGUGAGCGAACGCCUGCCCGUCCGGUUCAACAACCCGGGGUGGUUUCGGGGCUACAGAGCCACAGCCGCUGCCUCUGUGUACAGGACCAGUAACCAGGCCUACGGGAGCAGAGCGCCCACCGUGCACGAGAUGCCGGUAUGUGGGAAGCCAAAAGUGUUUUACUCAAGUUCAAGUCAGUUUUCCAGACAGCUCUCAGCUAGUGGAAUGUUCCGGGAUAAUACGUUCAACGUCAGCAUGGAGAAGAGCGUCGUAACGGGCCCGGACAACUACAUCACCCCCUGCGACAGGCUUAACUUCCACCCCAGUUACAAUGUCAACAAGCCGUCCAUCUGCGACUAGGCGGGACAUCCCUCCGGGAGUCUUCUCCAGCCGUUUCUCUGUUGCAAAUGAUUUGCCCAAUUGUAAAGGGAUAAAAGCACUCUUUACAAAAUUAAAGUCACAUCAUGGGUUAUGUGGAACCGCUGUUCUUCCCAGAAGCACUUAAGUGAACAAAUAUGCCACAACAAACCUGUCACAAGUACAAGACGGCUCAGGACAGUGAAGGACAGCAGGGGCGUGAGUCUGAGUUUGGGCAAGGACUGAAUUAUGCUGGGGUAUACGGGGUCAGAGGAUCCACUCCUAUGCUACAGCACCAACCAAACUCAGCUACAAAGCAGACCACGCCACGGCUGAACUGCCACGCUCAGGGUGAGCGACAACCAGUGUGGAUGUGACCACUGCUGUCCAUGGCGGCUUCUGUCCCCAGAGAAGCCAUGGGCCCCUCAGUGCCUCAGGAAAGAAGCCCAGGAAGUCAGGGACCCCAACACCAAGGACAAACGCCACUGCCUGGGAGUGGCAUUGGGCCUUUGGGUGCUGCCCAAGGGCGCAGCCACAGAGAGCCACAUCCCCAACUGGGCGCCAGGUAUGUGGGGAGGCCUGUCCCCAGCGGGCUUUCCACCAGCCUGCAGAGGUGGCUGAGGCCUUUGGGGACCAAGCACCCAAGAGUUGUGCUUAUUCACUCACAUGUACAAAUCAACAGGACAGUCACGACGCACGUGCGCUGCCACCUCUCAGAACCACGGCUACAAUGGAGAGCAGCGGGGCUUGGCGGGGCAGCCUGGUCGAGAUGCUCAAAGCAUCUGGCGACCAAUGAGCCAGACCCAGGACCAGCACAGGCUCUGGGCCCGGUUGCGGGGCGAGCACUGCUGGGGUCUCAGCUGACUGCGCACAGCAGGGAGGACGCUCGC